AUGUUAUAUUAUUUGGCUAUUGAGCCUUUGUUGAAUAAACUACGAUCAGAAAUUGAAGGUUUUUCUUUGCACAAUGGUGAUAUAUUUAAAGUUUCAGCUUAUGCUGAUGAUGUUAUAAUCAUGGUUAAUGGGCAGCGAGAUAUUAACCAAAUGGAGGGUAUUAUACAAGACUUUGGAGUUAUCUCAGCUGCUAAAGUAAACUGGGAAAAGAGUGAGGCAUUGGCAAUAGGAAAAUGGGAGCAGGGCUUGCCAGUUUUACCUGAUAGAAUAAGCUGGAAAAAGGGAGGUCUCAAAUAUUUAGGAGUUUAUCUUGGAGAUGCAAUUACACAGCAAAAGAAUUGGGAUGGGGUAGUAGAGAGGAUGGUAGGCAGACUGGCUAAAUGGAAGUGGAUUCAUUCACAAUUAUCUUUUAGGGGAAGAGUGUUAAUAGUGAACAAUUUGGUUUCUUCGAUACUCUGGCAUAAACUGUUUUGUGUGGAUCCACCCGUAGGGUUAUUAUCUCAGCUGCAAAGAAUUUUUGUGGAUUUUUUUUGGGAUCGAUUGCACUGGAUUCCACAAGGUGUAUUGUUUCUUCCUAAAGAUGAAGGUGGACAAGGUUUGGUCCACUUGCCAAGCAGAAUGGCAGCAUUUCGUUUACAAUUCAUUCAGAGAUUUUUAACAGGCCCAGAUGAUCUGGUGUGGAGGAACUUGACUAAGGUCAUCCUACAAAGAGUGGAGGGACUUGGACUUGAUGCUGGCCUCUUUUUCAUGGAUUACAGGAAGUUGAACUUGAAUAACAUAUCUCCUUUUUAUUGUGGACUUUUUAAAAUGUGGGGACUUUUUACUUUCAAAAGAAUGGACAAUUCAGACUCUUUGUUUUGGCUGUUGGAGGAGCCCCUAGUCAAAGGGGCUCGUCUAGAUGUGACAGAUGAGGUACCAGGCCUCUCUCAGAAGUUGUGUGCCUCUGGAACUGUGAAGCUGGGGCGAAUUGUCAGUGUGGCUGGUCCUGAUUUAAGUGAUGUUACAGCAGUAGCCCUGAUGCUGGGGCAAAGGUCAAUUCGCCACACAGGAACAAUAGUAGAAAAGUGGAGGAAGAAGCUCACGGAUGUGGAAAUCGCACUACUUAAGGACUUUGGGAAGGGGUUGGAGGUUCCAGAUAAAAACGAUCCUGUUCCGAAAUGUAAAAUUACUCCGGACUUGAAGGAUAUGUCGUGUCCUUUGCUUGACCUUCAUGGGCUGAAAGACUUGGUUCUGGAUAUAGUAGAGGGCAAAGUUUUCUAUCAGUGUUGUGUAAAAGUUUUUAAUAGAGUUUCUUUAAAUGGGAGAGUUGAUACAGUCUGGAAGGAAAAGCUUGGGAUGGGUGAAAAAGCUAAACCUUUUUGGAGAGUGUUUUACAAACCACCAUUGAUUAAGAAAUCUGGAGAUUUACAAUGGAGAAUUUUACACUGUUCUGUUGCAGUUAAUGCAUUUAUUUCUGUUAUUAAUCCAAGUGUCAAUGAUAAGUGUGUGUUUUGUGGUUUAAGGGAAACAGUGUUUCAUUGUUUUUUAGAAUGUGUAAGACUUAAAUCACUUUUUGUUUUAUUGAGUCAAGUGUUUUCAAAAUUAGGAGAAAAGUCUUGGUAUUGA
ensembl:lncRNA